UCUUCCGGCGCUAAGCCAGGCAUCCGAGGGUUAGGCCUCAGGAAAUUCUUCCGGCGCUAAGCCAGGCAUCCGAGGGUUAGGCCUCAGGAAAUUCUUCCGGCGCUAAGCCAGGCAUCCGAGGGUUAGGCCUCAGGAAAUUCUUCCGGCACUAAGCCAGGCAUCCGAGGGUUAAACUGUUGCUGGUGGUCCAAACCGAGAACGAUUGGCACAGCGGUGUGAACGGGAUUCCGUCUGAGUUGUCUUGGUUGGUGUUGAUUGCGCUCCACCUUCCACCGAAAAACCUGCAAGCAAGCCUCGCACCACCACUGGGGUAGUGGGGGCCCUCCGACGAUCAAGUCAGAGGAGAUUGGAG
rnacentral:lncRNA from 1 species